CCAUGCUCACUCAUUCACUUCAAUUAUCUUGAACCCCUAAUUUUAGAGAAAAAAAUGUACAAAUAUAAUGAAGAUGAGAAUAAGUACGAUAUGUUUUCACAAGUACGUUUCACACAAGUAUUUCAACAAAAAUUAACUAUCAAGUCUGCUUAACAUGUGUGCAUGCAUCUGUAUGCUUUAACUCACGCAAAGUCUUCUAAAAAUGAACAUGUUCCAUAUAUGUCGUUCGACUCGUGUCCUUGCAACCAUGUCCAAUUCUAGGAUGUGUGUCGUAUCUGAUUUUUACAUUCUAGUGUAGCAAUUAUUUUGAUAUGUACCUGCAUCCCUAUUAUCCUUCAUAUAUACUAGAGGAUUUAUAUCAACUAUGGCAAUGAUAAUGUCCUCUAUGCAGUAACUCAGUUAGCACAAACUGUGAUGCGUAGUGCUAUUGGAAAAAUGCCACUUGACAGGACCUUUAUGGAGAGAGACACUAUAAAUGCAAACAUUGUGUAGGGUUUCUUCAGCAUCAACAAGUAGGGUGCUUUACUCUUUUUAGCUAAGUUCUUGUUCGUGGCGCGUUCGAUUUGCUUUAAACUUAAAAGGACUUCAAUAUGAGUACAAAGCAGUUGAUCUUAUCAAAGGGGAGCAAUUUAAUCCAGGUCCUGUAGCAGGUCUUACUCUGGUACAGAUUCUGCUGCAGUCUCUGUUCUGGGUGUUGGAUUUGGUUUGCUGGGUUCUGGCUUUGUUGAGUUCAGGUCUGCUAGGGUCUGGUUUACAGACGCUCGGGCUUCUGGUUUCUAGUUGCUGUGCUGUUCCUGGCUACUGGGAUCUGGUUGCAGGCUCUGGUGUAGUUCAUGUGCUGGAUUUGGUUGCUGCAGGUGUUGGGUGGCUGGUUAUGCUUGGUAUGCUAAUCUGUUUGGAAACCUGCUACUGGAAGCCUGCUGGCUGUGUCUGUUUGGGCUGUUUCUGUUUUUUGUUUCUGUUAGGGUGGGCUGCUGUCUUCUAUUGCAGUGCAUCAUGGUUGGCUAUUUUUGAAGAAAAUAUAUAUGUUAGUGUUUAUAUGUCCAUUUUUUUUUUUAGUUUUUUAAAGUGUAAUAUUACAAG